GGGGAAUCUUGCGCAAUGGCGGAAAGGCUGACGCAGCGACGCCGCGUGAGGGAUGACGGUCUUCGGAUUGUAAACCUCUGUUGCCCGGGACGAACACACCCUUUCGAGGGUGCUGACGGUACCGGGUGAGGAAGCACCGGCUAACUCUGUGCCCGCAGCCGCGGUAAUACAGAGGGUGCGAGCGUUGUCCGGAAUCACUGGGCGUAAAGGGCGCGUAGGCGGUCUGGUAAGCGUGCGGUGAAAGCCCGGGGCUCAACCCCGGGUCGGCCGUGCGAACUGCUGGACUGGAGCUUGUCAGAGGCAGGCGGAAUUCCGGGUGUAGCGGUGGAAUGCGUAGAGAUCCGGAAGAACACCGGUGGCGAAGGCGGCCUGCUGGGACAGUGCUGACGCUGAGGCGCGACAGCGUGGGGAGCAAAC
rnacentral:rRNA from 1 species